rnacentral:rRNA from 1 species
AUAGCCUUUAGCUUCACAAUAAGUAUUAAAGGUAACGCCUGCCCAGUGAAAAUUAAACGGCCGCGGUAUCCUAACCGUGCAAAGGUAGCGUAAUCACUUGUCUUCUAAAUAAGGACUAGUAUGAACGGCUAAAUGAGGAUAAAUCUGUCUCCUUUAACCAAUCAGUGAAACUGAUCUUCCAGUACAAAAGCUGGAAUACAAAUACAAGACGAGAAGACCCUGUGGAGCUUUAAAUUUUAACCAAAAUAAACAACCCUAAGUAUUUAUGAAAACUAAUUUUAAGUUGGGGCGACUUCGGAACAAAACCAAACUUCCAAGCACAAAAGAUAUUAUCUUAAUAAAGGUAAACAAACCAAAACAAAUUUUGACCCAGUAAUACUGAUCAACGAACCAAGUUACCCCAGGGAUAACAGCGCUAUCUUCUUUAAGAGUCCCUAUCGACAAGAAGGUUUACGACCUCGAUGUUGGAUCAGGACACCCAAAUGGUGCAGCCACUAUUAAAGGUUCGUUUGUUCAACGAUUAACAGUCCUACGU